UUCGGGAACGUCUGACACAGGUGCUGCAUGGCUGUCGUCAGCUCGUGUCGUGAGAUGUUGGGUUAAGUCCCGUAACGAGCGCAACCCUGUCCUUAGUUACCAGCACGUUAUGGUGGGCACUCUAAGGAGACUGCCGGUGACAAACCGGAGGAAGGUGGGGGAUGACGUCAAGUCAUCAUGGCCCUUACGGCCUGGGCUACACACGUGCUACAAUGGUCGGUACAAAGGGUUGCCAAGCCGCGAGGUGGAGCUAAUCCCAUAAAACCGAUCGUAGUCCGGAUCGCAGUCUGCAACUCGACUUCAUGAAGCUGGAAUCGCUAGUAAUCGUGGAUCAGCCAAGCCGCGGUGAAUACGUUCCCGGGCCUU
rnacentral:rRNA from 1 species